rnacentral:lncRNA from 1 species
CACACUACAUGUAUUUAUUUCUCUGUUCCCCAUCAUGUCUUUGUGAAAGAUUGUUUGUGUUACUUGUUGACGCGCCAGACUGACUUGUUUUUUUCCGUGGUAUUUCACGAAGAUGUUUAUUGUUAAACAUUAUUCUUGUGACUGUUUUGCCUCAAUGAAGUGUGUGCAUGUUAACAAAUCUCUGCUCUCCUGCAUCUGACUUCGCUACCAGUACUCACACACAUGACAAUAUCUGUGUGAAGCUCUCGUUUGAAUUAAAACCAAAUAUCGAUCGAGGUUUUUCAAUUGACUGCCAUAUCCCCAAAUAAAAAAGUAAACAUUGGCUGUUAAUUUUUUUUUCUCGAUUCUAGCGUCUGGAACAGUUAUUCUUAUAAAGAGUAAUUUUAAACGGGGCUCAAUGUUGCAAGUUGAAAGACAAAUCUUUCAGUGUUAUAUACCAAAAUCUGUCUUUUCGAUAUACAGAAGUUCGAUUGAGUUUAUUAUGCCUGUUCCUUUGUAAUUUCUAAUUGUAAUUCGAUGAACAAUUAAAUAUUGAACACUACAUGGGGAUGAAUUAUGGCCAGGACAUCUGUCAGGUGAGUAGGCCUAGGCUUAAUGAUUCUGAUGAAAAUAUGCUCUUUGUCUUUAUCAAACUAAUGUGUUUGCAUAUUUUCCAUGUGGAACCUUUCUGUUUAGGGAGGUAAUAGUUUAGGCUAACCAAUUCUAAAUGACACUAGUAGGCUACUUCGUAAAGUAGGGUUGUCACUGAUGUUAGUUACUACAGCCACAAAACCUGCCUGUUUCUACAAUUUCGCUUCUUAAAAUCUGAUUUGAAACCUAACCAUAACAUUAACCACACUGCUAACCUUGUGCCUCACCCUAACCUUAAAUUAAGAACAAAAAGCACAUUUCUGUUUUCAUGAAUUUUUUCGAUAAUUAUAGCCAAUGUUGACUUGGUGGCUGUGGUAACUAGUGACAACCACAAGUAGCCUAAACGAUGCAUGAAUAAAUGAUGCAAUUAUUCCAAACUGCAGCUCAUUGUCGGAACACAUAUUUCCAUACUUCAGAUAACCAGUCCAUUUUGAAUUUGUGAUAAAAUUGUCGUUAUUUGGCAAGGAAUGUAGCUCGUGUAUCCCAUCAGUUUUUAUAGGCAUUUAUUUAUGUAGGUGCACUCAGCACGCAUGUGUAGAGGGAGCGGUGAAACGCAAUUGAGUGAGUUAGACUUGAAGGAGGAAAGAACGUUUAGGGAGCAGAAGUGUGACUUUUUGCUUGGUUUCUUUUUUGUGAUGUCCCGCAAAUGCACAUGUACAAAUGAUUCAAAGCAUGUUAUCCUUGUCUUCAAGACAACAUUUCGACCAAAUAGUUUUACCUGUAUUUGAACAAAAUGUGAUCUCUGGUUAAAGGUCGACUUUUUACUUUGUUCAAGUAGCGGAGACCAGGGAUGGUUGUAACACUUUUCACCUUUUCAUCAGUUUCUCAGAGAUUGUUUAUGGUAGUGUAUUCAAAACUUGAUACAACAUGGCUGUCCUGGGUUACAGGCUUGGUGGGCCCAUAAUUUGCUUUCCCAGCACUGCACCCAGACCUCCUUGGACUUGAUAAAGUGCUCCAUGCACACAAUUCAGAAGUUUUCCUCGUUGGAAGAAUCAGAAUCUUGUGGUUCAAGGUGCUUUGUUUUGGCUCUUUUCUUAAGCAGGACAGGUUUUUGUUAUUGUUCAGUGUGAUUUGUCUUGCCUUGCUUCUUUCCAGCUGUUUUUUUUAUGCAGGGCAAUUUUAUUUUUGCCAUCUGAGUGCUUGACUAGCUAUUGCUCUUUCAGUGCUGCUUGAUGGGUGUAUCCGACAAAAUCACUGUUUUUCUCCUUAUCCUACACCUUGUUGUAAUUUUCAUGGGCCCUGCUUUUGGGAAGGGGCGUACAUCAACUGGGUUGAAAUCAGAAGAAUAAUCAGGUGUUUCCCAGCCACAGUCUGAUAUAUGUGGGGAGGUGCCUUGUGAAGUGGCUGGAGAGGUGGCCUGAAAGGCACUUGGAGUUUCUAAAACUGUUUGAAUGGUGUCUGUGAGUAUAACAGAACUCAUAUGGCAGGCCAAAACCUGAGAGGAUUCCAUACAGGAAGUGUCCUGUCUGACAAUUUAUUGUCCUUCUGUAGCCUCUCUAUCGAAAAUACAGCAUCUGUGCUGUAACGUGACAUUUUCUAAGGCUUCCAUUGGCUCUCAGAAGGCGCCAGAAAGUGUAAUGAGAUGUCUGCAGUCUCUGGGCUAAAUACAGCAGCAGAGUUUGUUACUGGUCUGCCUGGGGACAGUGACACUGGAGAUGCGUGUUCAUGUGAAUUCUCCAUUUUGUUCUUUCAGUCUUUGAAUGGAUACAAUGUCGCCCGGUUGGAAUAUUAUCGCUAUUUUAUGAGAAAAAUCACAUAAAAAUUGAUUGUAAACAGCGUUUGACAUGCUUCGAAGUACGGUAAUGGAAUAUUUUGAAUUUUUUUUGUCACGAAAUGAGCUCGCGCGUCACACUUCGGAUACUGACCUGAACGCACGAACAAAACGGAGCUAUUUCAAUAUAACUAUGGAUUAUUUCGAACCAAAACAAAGUUUGUUGUUGAAGUAGAAGUCCUGGGAGUGCAUGCUGACGAAUUACAGCAAAGGUAAUCCAAUUUUUCAUAUAGUAAAUCUGAGUUUGGUGAGGGCCAAACUUGGUGGGUGUCAAAUUAGCUAGCCAUGAUGGCCGGGCUAUCUACUCAGAAUAUUGCAAAAUGUGCUUUCACCGAAAAGCUAUUUUAAAAUCUGACACCGCGAUUGCAUAAAGGAGUUCUGUAUCUAUAAUUCUUAAAAUAAUUGUUAUGUAUUUUGUGAACGUUAAUCGUGAGUAAUUAAGUAAAUUCACCGGAAGUUUGCGGUGUGUAUGCUAGUUGCUAGUUCUGAACAUCACAUGCUAAUGUAAAAAGCUGGUUUUUGAUAUAAAUAUGAACUUGAUUGAACAAAACAUGCAUGCAUUGUAUAACAUAAUGUCCUAGGAGUGUCAUCUGAUGAAGAUCAUCAAAGGUUAGUGCUGCAUUUAGCUGUGUUUUUUGUUUUUGUGACAUAUAUGCUUGCUUGAAAAAUGGCUGUGUGGUUAUUUCUGGCAGGGUACUCUCCUAACAUAAUCUAAUGUUUUGCUUUCGCUGUAAAGCCUUUUUGAAAUCGGACAAUGUGGUUAGAUUAACGAGAGUCUUAUCGUUCAAAUGGUGUAAAAUAGUCCUAUGUUUGAGAACUUUGAAUUAUGACAUUUUGUGGUUUUAAAUUUGGCGCUCUGAUGGGUCACUGGCUGUUGAAUAGAGCGGGACGAUUUCGUCCCACCUACCCUAGAGGUUAACAAACUAUCGUUUUGGCAAGUCGGUUAGGACAUCUACUUUAUGCAUGACAAGUUAUUUUUCCAACAAUUGUUUACAGACAGAUUCUUUCACUUAUAACUCACUGUAUCACAAUUCCUUGUGGAUCAUAAAUUUACAUACACUAAGAUGACUGUGCCUUUAAACAGCUUGGAAAAUUCCAGAAAAUUGUCAUGGCUUUAGAAGCUUCUGAUAGGCUAAGUGACAUCAUUUGAGUCAAUUGGAGUUGUGCCUGUGGAUGAAUUUCAAGGCCUACCUUCAAACUCAGUGCCUCUUUGCUUGACAUCAUGGGAAAAUCUAAAGAAAUCAGCCAAGACCUCAGAAUUUGUUUUGUAGACCUCCACAAGUCUGGUUCAUCCUUGGGAGCAAUUUCCAAACACCUGAACGUACCACGUUCAUCUGUACAAACAAUUGUAAGCAAGUAUAAACACCGUGGGACCACGCAACCGACAUACUGCUCAGGAAGGAGAUGCAUUCUGUCUCCUAGAGAUGAGCGUACUUUGCUGCGAAAAGUGCAAAUCAAUCCCAGAACAAUAGCAAAGGACCUUGUGAAGAUGCUGGAGGAAACAGGUACAAAAGUAUCUAUAUCCACAGUAAAACAAGUCCUAUAUCGACAUAACUUGAAAGGCCGCUCAGCAAGGAAGAAGCCACUGCUCCAAAACUGCCAUAAAAAAGCCAGACAACGGUUUGCAACUGCACAUGGGGACAAAGAGCGUACUUUUUGGAGAAAUGUCCUCUGGUCUGAUGAAACAAAAAUGGAACUGUUUGGCCAUAAUGACCAUCAUUAUGUUUGCAAGAAAAAGGGGGAGGCUUGCAAGCCAAAUAACACCAAACGUGAAGCACGGGGGUGGCAGCAUCAUGUUGUGGGGGUGCUUUGCUGCAGGAGGGACUGGUGCACUUCACAGAAUAGAUGGUAUCAUGAGGAUUGAAAAUUAUGUGGAUAUAUUGAAGCAACAUCUCAAGACAUCAGUCAGGAAGUUAAAGCUUGGUCGCAAAUGGGUCUUCCAAAUGGACAAUGACCCCAAGCAUAUUUCCAAAGUUGUGGCAAAAUGGCUUAAGGACAACAAAGUCAAGGUAUUGGAGUGGCCAUCACAAAGCCCUGACCUCAAUCCUAUUGAAAAUUUGUGGAUAGAACUGAAAAAGCAUGUGCGAGCAAGGAGGCCUACGAACCUGACUCAGUUACACCAGCUCUGUCAGGAGGAAUGGGCCAAAAUUCACACAACUUAUUGUGGGAAGCUUGUGGAAGGCUACCCCGAAACAUUUGAUCCAAGUGAAACAAUUUAAAGGCAAUGCUACCAAAUACUAAUUGAGUGUAUGUAAACUUCUGACCCACUGGAAAUGUGGUGAAAGAAAUAAAAGCUGAAAUAAAUCAGUUUCCCUAGUAUUAUUCUUACAUGUCACAUUCUUAAAAUGAAGUGAUGAACCUAACUGACCUAAAACAGGGAAUUAUUAAAUACUAGGAUUAAAUGUCAGGAAUUGUGAAACCGAGUUUAAAUGUAUUUGGCUAAGGUGUAUGUAAACUUCCAACUUCAACUCUAUAUGGAAUACAGUCCCAUUAGAUGGUUAUGGUGUGAUAACUAUAUUUUGUUUAUCUUUUGUUUAUUCUUUUAUUCCUUUUUGUUUCAUUUUCUUUGACACUUAGGAAGUGAUAGAGCCAUAAACAAGUUCCCCAUAUAACCAUCAGUUAGUGCCACAACGCCACUGUUGGGGUUCGUUCCUUUUUCCUUGUCAAUCAUUGGUGAAAUUAGCAUUCAGACAAUAUCUUUAAAUAAAUCAAUCAAAAACCUUUAUUAAUGCAAUUGCAGAGAGAAGUUGACAACAGGAACAUAGCACGCAUGUUUCCGAGUAAGUUCUGCAAAAUAGGAAAAGGAUCCAAGUUGUUUUAUUAUGCUUGCAGUCAUCCCUUAGUGAUGUCACUGCCUACGUCAUUACCUUCUAGUCAUGAGAUCAAGCCCAUGUCUACACAGCUAUACAAACAAGAGUUUCAGUGUAAUCUAAAGGCUCAGAAAUAAAUGUCCACUCCCCUAGUUGAUUUAUAGUGGUAUGUCUGACUAGUCUCUUAUCUCUUUCACUCCCCUGCAGAGUUCUUUGUCUAUGCAUCUCUUUUAUCUUUGAGGCGCUUUUUCACAGACACCCUGAUUUGACUGCCAUAACUCACACAUCACUGACUGUUUUUUUAUAAGAAGCGGAGACUAGAAAAGUACUGUGGAACAAUAUUAAACCUUAUAUAUAUUGUUUAUCUGUAGUCUAGGACCCUAUAAAUGUAAGGGGAGGGGUCUUAUAACCCUUCCCCUUCUAUUAAUACAACAUAAGCAUAAUCAAUUAUUAUAAUACAUCAAACAUUUGGUACAGCCCCUUUCAUGACCCCAAGUUGAACCCAACAGCACUCAUUUGGGAAGAAAUGUAAUUAUAUAUUUUGUGAGUGUGUGUGUGCAUUGUUAACAUUUGCCUAAGUUACUGCCCAGAUCUACCAGCCUGGACGACCAGACGACGGGUCCGGAACAGCGAUCCCCAACCCGGACAUCCGCUGCCCAUUCUGGUGGUGGACUGCUCCGUUGGCAGAAAGCCUACCAGUGUUAACCACCAGAGGGGGACCGCAACGGCGAUCAUCAACCAGGACAUCCCUUGGUCAUUUUUAUAGUGGUGUGCAACUUGCAGGAUAAUUACAAGAUUUAAACCACCAGAGGGGGACUGUCAUGACUCUCGCUCCUGGACAGCCCUUACAGAAUUACCCACCACUCAAGGACCAAGCAGCAGAAGAAGGAGCAGAGGGAAUUCGAGUUGGACUGGCGGGAGAAAUGGACCUGGGAGGAAGUUCUGGACGGGGCCGGACCUUGGCACCAGGCUGGGGAUUAUCGACGCCCGCAGUGGGAAAUUGAGGCAGCCAAGGCGGAGAGGCGGUGGUACGAGGCCAAGUACGCGCUGAAGGAGAAGCAUGAGAGGCACCCCCAAGAAAAUUUUGGGGGGGGGGCACACGGGUAGUUUGGCUAGGCGUAAGAAGAGCCGGAAGCCAGCUACCCGUGGUUAUAUGGAGGAGCGUAUGGGGUGGAGAGCGCUAUGUUUCGCUGAGGAGCGCACUAUCUCACACAUACGCACGCACAGUCCGGUGCGCGUUAUUCCAGCCCCUCGCAGGUGCCGUGCUAGAGCGGGCAUCCAGCCUGGUAGGAGGAUGCCUGCGCAGCGCAUCUGGUCGCCGGUACGCCUCCGAGGACCAGGCUACCCAACUCCCGCUCUACGCACGGCUACCAUCAGGCCCCUGCACAGCCCAGUCUGCCCUGUACGGGCACCCCGCUCGUACAGGGCUACUAGUUCCAUCCAGCCAAGACGGGUUGUGCAGGAGGUAAGAUCGAGACCGACUGUGCGCCUCCAUAGCCCUGGGUUUCCAGCUCCUGUCUCUCGUGCGGACCCGGAAGUGCGUCAACCCAGUCCGACUCGUCCUGUUCCCGCUCCCCGCACUAGCCUGGAGGUGCGUGUACAGAAUCUGGUAAGCCCAGUACCAGCACCACGCACCAGGCUACAAGUGCGUCAACCCAGCCUCGCCAGUCAACAGUCUUCAUCAGAGCUGCCCGCCAGUCAACAGUCAUCAUCAGAGCUGCCCGCCAGUCAACAGUCAUCAUCAGAGCUGCCCGCCAGUCAACAGUCAUCAUCAGAUCUGCCCGCCAGUCAACAGUCAUCGUCAGAGCUGCCCGCCAGUCAACAGUCAUCGUCAGAGCUGCCCGCCAGUCAACAGUCAUCGUCAGAGCUGCCCGCCAGUCAACAGUCAUCGUCAGAGCUGCCCGCCAGUCAACAGUCAUCGUCAGAGCUGCCCGCCAGUCAACAGUCGUCAGAGCUGCCCG